rnacentral:rRNA from 1 species
UACGUAGGGUGCGAGCGUUGUCCGGAAUUAUUGGGCGUAAAGAGCUCGUAGGCGGUUUGUUGCGUCGGCCGUGAAAACCUGCAGCUUAACUGUGGGCCUGCGGCCGAUACGGGUAGACUUGAGUUCGGUAGGGGAGACUGGAAUUCCUGGUGUAGCGGUGAAAUGCGCAGAUAUCAGGAGGAACACCGAUGGCGAAGGCAGCUCGCUGGGACGGUACUGACGCUGAGACGCGAAAGCGUGGGGAGCAAACAGG